rnacentral:rRNA from 1 species
GAUGAACGCUGGCGGCGUGCUUAACACAUGCAAGUCGAACGAAGCAUUUAAGACAGAUUACUUCGGUUUGAAGUCUUUUACGACUGAGUGGCGGACGGGUGAGUAACGCGUGGGUAACCUGCCUCAUACAGGGGGAUAGCAGCUGGAAACGGCUGGUAAUACCGCAUAAGCGCACAGUACCACAUGGUACAGUGUGAAAAACUCCGGUGGUAUGAGAUGGACCCGCGUCUGAUUAGCUUGUUGGCGGGGUAACGGCCCACCAAGGCGACGAUCAGUAGCCGACCGGAGAGGGUGACCGGCCACAUUGGGACUGAGACACGGCCCAGACUCCUACGGGAGGCAGCAGUGGGGAAUAUUGCACAAUGGAGGAAACUCUGAUGCAGCGACGCCGCGUGAGUGAAGAAGUAGUUCGCUAUGUAAAGCUCUAUCAGCAGGGAAGAUAGUGACGGUACCUGACUAAGAAGCUCCGGCUAAAUACGU